UAAAAUCCAAAUGUCUCGAAAAAUCGAUUUCGUUGGUGAUAUAUCCCAUUCGAAAGAAAAUUGGAAUAUCAGGCUUCGAAGUAUUAGGCUUUGGUUUGUGAGAGAUAUGAACAAGGAAAAACUGUCUCACUCAUUGCAAAUAGUUAUAAUAGAUAAUAAAGUUGUUUGACACCAUUUUUGUUAUCUUUUUAUAUCCACUUUUAUAUUAGAUAAUUUGUUUCUUUUUUGUUCAUCCAUUUGUUUCUUUUCAUAAUUUUUUUGCUCAAUCGAAUAUGAUACCGUUGAAUUCGUUUAUGAUGUCUCCCAUUCACAUAAACAAACUUUGAGUAUCAAUGGUCGAAUCAUCUAUAUCUAUAUUUAUCUAUAUCUAUCUAUAUCUAUAUACUAUACAUUUGAGGGUUUUCCUCAUAUAUGUAUAUAUAGAAAUAAAUUUCUCACCAAAGCAUUCUAACGACAUGUGGUUUCAUGGACUAAACUCAAGCUUCUCAUGCAUUUCCCCAUAAAUGCUAACCUAAAUUGAC
rnacentral:lncRNA from 1 species